AUUGAACGCUGGCGGCAGGCCUAACACAUGCCCGUCGAACGAGUGGCUUACGGGUGAGUAAUGUCUGGGAAACUGCCUGCUGUCGUGGGAUAACUACUGGAAACGGUAGCUAAUACCGCAUACCAUCGGAUGUGCCCAGAUUGGAUUAGCUAGUAGGUGGGGUAAAGGCUCACCUAGGCGACGAUCCCUAGCUGGUCUGCGAGGAUGACCAGCAACACGGGAACUGAGACACGGUAAAGACGCCUACGGGAGGCAGCAGUGGGGAAUAUUGCACAAUGGGCGAAAGCCGGAUGCAGCCAUGCCGCGUGGAUGAAGAAGGCCUUCGGGUUGUAAAGUACUUUCAGCGGGGAGGCGUUACCCGCAGAAGAAGCACCGGCUAACUCCGGGCCAGCAGCCGCGGUAAUUC
rnacentral:rRNA from 1 species